rnacentral:rRNA from 1 species
GAUGGGUGAGUAACACGUGGGCAAUCUGCCCUAAAGACUGGGAUACACUUGGAAACAGGUGCUAAUACCGGAUAACAACAUGAAUCGCAUGAUUCAAGUUUGAAAGGCGGCGUAAGCUGUCACUUUAGGAUGAGCCCGCGGCGCAUUAGCUAGUUGGUGGGGUAAAGGCCUACCAAGGCAAUGAUGCGUAGCCGAGUUGAGAGACUGAUCGGCCACAUUGGGACUGAGACACGGCCCAAACUCCUACGGGAGGCAGCAGUAGGGAAUCUUCCACAAUGGACGCAAGUCUGAUGGAGCAACGCCGCGUGAGUGAAGAAGGUUUUCGGAUCGUAAAGCUCUGUUGUUGGUGAAGAAGGAUAGAGGCAGUAACUGGUCUUUAUUUGACGGUAAUCAACCAGAAAGUCACGGCUAACUACGUGCCAGCAGCCGCGGUAAUACGUAGGUGGCAAGCGUUGUCCGGAUUUAUUGGGCGUAAAGCGAGCGCAGGCGGAAUGAUAAGUCUGAUGUGAAAGCCCACGGCUCAACCGUGGAACUGCAUCGGAAACUGUCAUUCUUGAGUGCAGAAGAGGAGAGUGGAAUUCCAUGUGUAGCGGUGGAAUGCGUAGAUAUAUGGAAGAACACCAGUGGCGAAGGCGGCUCUCUGGUCUGCAACUGACGCUGAGGCUCGAAAGCAUGGGUAGCGAACAGGAUUAGAUACCCUGGUAGUCCAUGCCGUAAACGAUGAGCGCUAGGUGUUGGGGACUUUCCGGUYCUCAGUGCCGCAGCAAACGCAUUAAGCGCUCCGCCUGGGGAGUACGACCGCAAGGUUGAAACUCAAAGGAAUUGACGGGGGCCCGCACAAGCGGUGGAGCAUGUGGUUUAAUUCGAAGCAACGCGAAGAACCUUACCAGGUCUUGACAUCCUGUGCUACACCUAGAGAUAGGUGGUUCCCUUCGGGGACGCAGAGACAGGUGGUGCAUGGCUGUCGUCAGCUCGUGUCGUGAGAUGUUGGGUUAAGUC